rnacentral:rRNA from 1 species
AUACCGGGCCUUUUUGGGCUUGGUAAUUGGAAUGAGGGAGAGUUAAACGGACCAUCGAGUAUCCAUUGGAGGGCAUCUGGUGCCAGCAGCUGCGGUAAUACCAGCUCCAAUAGCGUAUAUUAAAGUUGUUGCAGUUAAAAAGCUCGUAGUUGGACUUGUGUGCGCUGUCCGCGGGUGGCCUGCGCCCAAAAGGGCGUUUCGGUUCGGCCCCGGUGGCGCCUUGAAAUCUGCAGCUGGGGGGACGUUGGCCUUAACUGGUCGGCGACCGCACGCCGGCUGCUCGGUUACUGUGAGAAAAUUAGAGUGUUCAAGGCAGGCAUUGGGUGCAAUUGAAUACAUUAGCAUGGAAUAAUAAAAUAUGGCUCCUGCCGUAUUUUGUUGGUUUUGACUGGUGGGAGUAAUGAUUGAUAGGGACGGUUGGGGGUGCUAGUAUUGAGCGGCCAGAGGUGAAAUUCAUGGAUUCGCUCAAGACUAACUUAUGCGAAAGCAUUCACCAAGGACGUCCUCUUUAAUCAAGAACGAAAGUUGGGGGAUCGAAGACGAUCAGAUACCGUCGUAGUCUCAACCAUAAACUAUGUCGACUUGGGAUCGGCGGUAGUUUUUUCAUUAAGACACUGUCGGGACCACGGGAGAAAUCAAAGUGUCUGGACUCUGGGGGAAGUAUGGUCGCAAGGCUGAAACUUGAAGGAAUUGACGGAAGGGCACCACCAGGAGUGGAGCCUGCGGCUUAAUUUGACCCAACACGGGGAAACUUACCAGGUCCAGAGAUGUAGAGGAUUGACAGAUUGAAGCUCUUUCUUGAUCACUUCGGUGGUGGUGCAUGGCCGUUCUUAGUUGGUGGAGUGAUUUGUCUGGUUAAUUCCGUUAACGAUCGAGACCUCAGCCUGCUAGUGUAGUCGGCUGGAUUGCCUUUGGCGAUCCGUGAUUUCGACUUCUUAGAGGGACAAUCGACGCGCAGUCGAUGGAAGUUUGAGGCAAUAACAGGUCUGUGAUGCCCUUAGAUGUUCUGGGCCGCACGCGCGCUACACUGCUGGGCUCAGCGAGUUUUACUUGGCCGAGAGGCCCGGUUAAUCUUGUGAAAUCCCAGCGUGCUUGGGCUCGCCUCCUGCAACUGGAGGCGCCAACGAGGAAUUCCUAGUAGACGCAGGUCAUCAACCUGCAUCGAUUACGUCCCUGCCCUUUGUACACACCGCCCGUCGUUCCAUAAGAGUGAGGCAUCCGGUGAAUUCUCGGGAGAGCCUGGGCGUGGCCAGCAAUGGUCUGCUCGGGUUUGAACUUGCAUAAACUUGGUGCCUAUGAUUAGGG